rnacentral:rRNA from 1 species
GACGAACGCUGGCGGCGUGCCUAAUACAUGCAAGUUGAGCGAUGAAGAUUGGUGCUUGCACCAAUUUGAAGAGCAGCGAACGGGUGAGUAACGCGUGGGGAAUCUGCCUUUGAGCGGGGGACAAAAUUGGGAAAGGAAGGUAAAUACGGCAUAAAACUUUAAACCAAAGGUUUAAAGUUGAAAAGAGGCAAUGGAACCACCCAAGAAGGACCCGGCGUUGUAUUAGCUAGUUGGUGAGGUAAAGGCUCACCAAGGCGAUGAUACAUAGCCGACCUGAGAGGGUGAUCGGCCACAUUGGGACUGAGACACGGCCCAAACUCCUACGGGAGGCAGCAGUAGGGAAUCUUCGGCAAUGGACGAAAGUCUGACCGAGCAACGCCGCGUGAGUGAAGAAGGUUUUCGGAUCGUAAAACUCUGUUGGUAGAGAAGAACGUUGGUGAGAGUGGAAAGCUCAUCAAGUGACGGUAACUACCCAGAAAGGGACGGCUAACUACGUG